AUGGCUCGCGGCGAUCAUCAAAGUGAUGAUGACGAUUUCAUGGAUCCACCUCAACGUAACCGGGCAACUGGACGGAGAAAAGAGGGCGAUGAGAAGAAGAAACGUAUUCGCAACAGAGCCUCCCAGGAACGUCUGACCGUGCUGAUUGACAAAUUCAGUGACGAUCAAAAGGGAGCUGCUGCUGAGAUGGGUAUGCAGGUUCUGAUGGAUGUCCGGUGCACGAACCUUGUCAACCCGGUAUGCGACUGGCUUGGUGAGAUAUACGAUCCCGCCUCCAGGGAAUUCGUGAUCCCAGGACGGGGAAGACUCCCAUUGAACGAGGAAUCCGUGUUCUGCACUUUGGGUGUGCCUCGGGGACAUAUCAAAGUCCCGUAUGAGGUUAAUAAUGAGACUGAGGAAGAGCUGUUCGCCCGUUUGUUUCCUGGGUUGGAGGCAAUGUCGAACACGUCUGUACUGGCAGAUUCUCUGCAGGCCAUGAUGACGCACGGAGAAGUUUUCAAGAUGAAGCUGCUCAUGUAUCUCAUAUCAGCUAUUUUCGUGCCGACCACUUCUCUUCGCCCAAGCAACAAAUGUUUCCCCAUCCUGGCGAAUCUGAAAAACGUGAAGAAUAUGAACUGGUGUAAAUUCAUUGCCGACUUUCUCCACGAUGCUUUCAAAAACAAGAUGUACCAGAAGGGUUGUCGCCUGCAUUUAAUGCUUAUGUAUGUCGACUGUCUUGAUUUGUCCACCGUGGAUUUCACUGGGGUAGGAGGCCCGCCGCCUACGCACAAGUUUGCUAUUUCUGCGUGGACCAUCAGCGCUGUCAAGGCUGUGCUUGCUGCAGACAGGGCAACUGAUGGCACGUAUGGAAAACUACAGGUUAGUUUUUGUUUAUGUCUUUUUUUCACACGGCAUGCUUACAAAUUUGACACGACGCAACCGUCCGUGGUUUAUAAGGCAUGCUUACAUUUUCUUUUUUUGUUUUUCAUAGCUGAUGGCCAAGCAUGCUAUAGACUACAGCGUGUUUGGGGGCCUCAAAAAUUUGAAAAGUGGAUGGACGUGCACUCAGCUCCGUCUUGCCCUUCUGAGGCGAGGGCACCAGUUGAGCAUCUAAUUGGGCAGUUUGCUUCCGGAAUGACCGGAUUGCUCCGGAAGUUGGUCGAGGGGUGGACGUCCCUCAGUGCCUCCGACAGCGACGUGGUUGUGAGGCAGUUCACUUCAUUUGUUCCAGAACGUACACACCGGCCAACGGGCUGUCGUGGCCGAUACGACUACAACAGUUCCCAAGAGCCCGUCGACACACAAGAUGAUGUAGACGGAGACGCUGGCCUCAGCAAGGAUGACGACGACAUGGACAAUGUGCAUCAGGACACGGAUGACGAUGAACAAGCUGAAGUUCGCAGAGGCGGUAACAGGGGCAAGGAUGCAACAUAUGCCCCACCACCGGAGAAAGUGAAAGAACAGACUGCUGCGAGAGGCCAGGGGGUGUUGCCAUCAAGGAGGGGGAGGGCUCCAGAUGAUGUUGGGCAGGGUUCUCAUGGCAAGAAGUCCAAGACGGAUCCCGUAGCUGCCAGGAGGAGCAAGCCGACCGCUGGUGGACGAGCAGUUACGAAUAAACAGGCGCCAACGCCAACCCGUGCUUAUGCUCGCUUGAACAAAGGUGCCCCCAUUGCUGGUGACACCCCUUCCACCAGGUUGUCUCCUCGUACGACGACGACCAACACCGGGGAUCCUGUUGUGUUGCCAGACAUGAGGAAGCCAGUCAAGAAGGUUAAGAAGACUACUACGCGCGGGGCCAAGCAUAGGAUAAAUGAUCCGCUUGAACGACUACAUUCAAAGUUGUCAACUGGGGGCAACUCAAAUGUACAUGAGGCACCCGUCGACAAUACUACUGCUGCACCGAUGACGGCUUCCACCAACCCUGAUGCGAGUGGCCGAUCAUCUCCGCCGGCUGCGGAUGCCGAGGCUACAACAACAGGCAUCCGUACAUCGGGGAGUGAUGAGUCCAUAUCUGCCAGGACAGCUGAAAUAUUGCCAACUCUUCUGGCAAUGAAGGAAGCCACAGUGAGCCACACCACCCCAUCAGCAAGUGUUGAAGUGGACGCUCCCGAGACGAACAUAUGCAACGAGGAUUCGCUCUCUUCAGACACUGACUCCAAGGGCGUGCGUGAUGGCGCACCUGUGUCCACGACAGAAGCCGCUGAGGCGGCAGUUCAUAAGGAUAUGCCAUCUUCAGGAGAGAGUCAUGGCACAACAGCUCCAGCCCCUGUCGGUGCAGAUACUGCUAAGGUUACCGUGGCGCGUGCUGGUCUUCCACCUAGGCGUCGCAGCCCCCAUAAGCAACCAACAGUCGUACCCAAUGCACCGGUUGUACCUAGCAGCAGGAGAGACGAGUCUGGGUAUGUUCCUGCAUCCACACUGUUCCCGCCAACCGCCCAAAGCAAUGUGAUGGAGAACCCGCAAGACCGGAGCAAAACUGAGGCAGUUGUCAAGGCUGGCACGAGUGACGCAGGUGAACGGCCGGAGCAGACUGCGCCUUUACCCGCAGUGGAAAUCCCCAACAUAAAUCUGCGCACUUCCAGGCUGCCAGUCAAUGUUGGUGUCCCCUACAGCCCAAACAAGAAGAUUGCCAUGAAAGUUGCUGCUGAUACCGCUGACAAGACACCCCGCCCUGCAAACAAGCCCGAACAUUCCGGAGCGGCUGAUUCAGAUAUGUUUGUUGAUCUUUCACCAUUGGAUUCUGCCCCGCAAAUCGUUCGUGGUCCAGCCAGUAGGAAUGAGAGGCACCCAAUGGCAUUUACCCCACCGAGCUUCAGCAUUGGCGUAAGUCAAGACCAAGCGGUGGUGCAUGAUCCUAUGCCAGUUGCCUUUGCUUUUCCAGGAGGCACGGCGGCAAUGAUGGCGCAGCCAAUGGUCGAGGGCAGGAAGGCUGUCAAGUUCGCAGAGCCAAUUGUGCAAGCCACCCCUGAGGAAAUUUCACCAUCACUCGACGAAGCUUACCGCAAGAUUGAGGAGGCAGCAUUGCAGAGGAGGACAUCCCGAGGACAGGGGCAAUCAAGUUCCAACUUGACUGCGGAGAUGGCAACUGAGGAUACCAUCAGAAGCGCGACCCCUGGUUCUGUGAGACAGCAGAGGGUAGUUCACGCACCUCCCGCGGAAGACUACGAGCCCGAAUUCAGGGCCACUAAGGAACAGACCCAGCUGUACGACGUCAUCAAGCGGUUUGGAAAUGCAAGGGCCAGCAGCAAGCAUAUGAAGGAGUUGAAAGCAUGA
rnacentral:rRNA from 1 species